UGCGUGAUCUCACCAUUCAUUUCACGCUGUACUUUUGCUCCCUGCCCAGCGAGUUUGGAGACGGUACGUUGCUCCCCUUUCCAACAAUAAGAUCUUAUCACAGGCAGCUGGCCCACGUUCUGCACUUUCAUUUUUAUUGUGUGGGUUCUGAAACUCUGAUGCAAAUAGUCUGCCGAACAUCCUCCCUCCACUGCAUGUGGUUUUUUUUUUUUUUUUCCUCUUCAACCUCCUUGCAUGCAGUGUGCUCCAGCGUCAUGCUGGCUCCAGCCAGCUCCCAUUGUUCACAUUGUUGUUUUUGUGUCAAGGGCGUGAGAGGAAUUUUUUCUUUUUUCUUUUUCUUUUUUUUUUUUUUUAUUUUUAUUUUUGCCAGGACAGCAAUUUAAAGCUAAGGCCUUGAAAAUACACUUGCCAUUUGCAGGAAAAUAGCUACUGGACUCACCACAAGGCCAAAGAUGAGGGGAAGACCCAAGUGGUUAAAAUACAAUAACAUAAAUUAAAGAAGGACUGAAGAAAGAAGCCAUUUGCAGAAUAGGAUGAAGACACCAAAAAUUGAAUAUUCUCUGCAAUGGCCUACAUAGAAGAGGAACUGCCACAGCAGAUUAGAUGAGUGGUCCGCUGGGGCUGCCGUGCCAGCAGCACGGUGGUUAUCUCUAAAAGCGUGAGAGAAAUGAUGCGUGUGACUGGGAGUGACAAACGGGACAAGGUCUCUGCCCUUCACAAUAAAUCUAGCCUUGACAUCUAAUUGAAUAUUUCUGCCCAGGAACUCAGAGGUCACUUGAUCCUGAAGCCAAUGAUAAAAUUCAUCUUCAAAAGAGGAGUGGAAAUAAAAUUAGAAGAAAAAAAGUCCUUCUGGAGAGCAUCCUCCUGACAGCCUGUCCCACUGAAUUUGAUAGGAAUACUCCUGGAAAUUAAGCAAGCCUGGUUUAUCCUUCAAUUACAUUCAAUGCUGACAUUUAUUAAUUCCCAAGCAUAACAACAAUUCUGUUGCGUGUUUUUACAUAAUAUACAUGCACUCACACUGCUAAGUUCUUCACAGUUGGAAAAUAGAUUCAGAGCUCAAACGGGUAAAAGAGGCAACAGUCACAAGUAAAUCCCAAGGGAGAAAUAAAAGGACUUAAUAGCAGGCUAUUAUUAAACUCUAUUUGAUAUAUUAAAAAAUCACAAGGAAGCCUGUCAAAAAAAUUACCAUGAUCAAAUAAAUUACAAGGCAAAGCUGCCAGUCAUGUCUUGUGAACUGGUACAGCAGAGACACGAUGGGAAAUAAAAUACCCGGAGCUCAGAACAAAACGAGGCUUGCGCUGUCAAACGGCCUGUCCUGUCUGCAGCCUCCCUGCCUCCAGGCAGCUACCUCCUGCUGCCACCUCUGCACCUUGGCCUUCGCUCCCGGCUGGCCAGGGAGAAGCUGAGAGUGCUGUGCAGUCUGCACCGGGGCUAAAAGCCCCACUCCCACUUUGUUCCACCUCCUCCCCAGCAAAACCAUUCUUCUCCUCGAAGCUCCUCGUUAUCUCCUGCCUACACACUCGCUGCAUUCGCAUGUACUUUGCCACUUUGCAAAGUGCUCUUGGGAUUACUUAGGUACUGCAGAAACCCAAAGUUGCUCUGCUUUACAGCACCGCAAUCCUGGCUUCAUAAACCUCAACCUCGCACAAUGGAGAACUGCUGGAAAAUUAACUUCAAAAUGUUCCCUUCUGAGUGCGUGACGCCAAAACUCUGCACAGUGCAUCGCAACAAGGGUUUCUGCAGAGAAGAAGCCACCCAGUGAAGCACCUAAGGGACAGGCAGCAGAAAAGCUGAGGCUGGACAUGCAGCCUCAUCUCUCUCCUUCAUGCCCAUUCACAGCAGGAACUCCUGGGCAGAGCAGUAUAGCCUGAGCUAUAAGAGGCACUUCUCUUUCUGCAGCUGUCCAUCCACGAAUUUCCCAGAGACACAUGACUGAGUUUAAAGCAGUAAGUGUUGUAGCCUAAUGAUCUUACAGUGUAACAGAGGAAAGGUUGGAGCAAGAAGCAAGAUUUGUCCGGGUCAGCUGACAAUGCUAGAGAAAAUGGAAAGGCAUUUGGGCACGGGAGGCCUCUUUCAGAUUUUAGGAAGACAAAGGCUAUAUACUAUGGGAAUUUGAGAGUUAAGAUUUAUUUAUUUAUUUAUUUAGCUUAAACCUGUAAUAUCAAUAUAGUCUCAGGUAAUUUUUCCCCCUCAUUGCAUUUACUAGACAUUUGUUUGCCUGAUCUUUUUCCCAAGUUGCAAGCAGCAAGCUGAGCAUCUGA